rnacentral:rRNA from 1 species
UGCGCGCCUACCAUGCAAGUCGAGCGGAUGAAAGGGGCUUGCUCCUGGAUUUAGCGGCGGACGGGUGAGUAAUACGCAGGAAUCUACCUAGUAGUGGGGGAUAACGUCUCGAAAGGGACGCUAAUACCGCAUACGUUCUGAGGAAGAAAGCAGGGGAUCUUCGGACCUUGCGCUAUGAGAUGAGCUUGCGUCCGAUUAGCUAGUUGGUGGGGUAAAGGCCUACCAAGGCGACGAUCGGUAACUGGUCUGAGAGGAUGAUCAGUCACACUGGAACUGAGACACGGUCCAGACUCCUACGGGAGGCAGCAGUGGGGAAUAUUGGACAAUGGGGGCAACCCUGAUCCAGCCAUGCCGCGUGUGUGAAGAAGGCCUUCGGGUUGUAAAGCACUUUAAGCGGGGAGGAAGGCCUGAUGGAUAAUACCCAUUGGGAUUGACGUUACCCGCAGAAUAAGCACCGGCAAACUUCGUGCCAGCAGCCGCGGUAAUACGAAGGGUGCGAGCGUUAAUCGGAAUUACUGGGCGUAAAGCGCGCGUAGGUGGUUGAGUAAGCGACAUGUGAAAUCCCCGGGCUUAACCUGGGAACUGCCUGUCGAACUGCUUGGCUAGAGUAUGGUAGAGGGGUGUGGAAUUUCCUGUGUAGCGGUGAAAUGCGUAGAUAUAGGAAGGAACAUCAGUGGCGAAGGCGACACCCUGGACCGAUACUGACACUGAGGCGCGAAAGCGUGGGUAGCGAACAGGAUUAGAUACCCUGGUAGUCCACGCCGUAAACGAUGUCUGCUAGCCGUUGGAGGGCUUGUCCCUUCAGUGGCGGAGCUAACGCGAUAAGCAGACCGCCUGGGGAGUACGGCCGCAAGGUUAAAACUCAAAUGAAUUGACGGGGGCCCGCACAAGCGGUGGAGUAUGUGGUUUAAUUCGACGCAACGCGAAAAACCUUACCCGGUCUUGACAUCCUGGGAACCCUUUA